CGCAAGCCUGACGGAGCCAGACCGCGUGGGGGAGGAAGGCCCUUGGGUUGUAAACCCCUUUUCUCAGGGAAGAAGUCCUGACGGUACCUGAGGAAUCAGCCUCGGCUAACUCCGUGCCAGCAGCCGCGGUAAUACGGAGGAGGCAAGCGUUAUCCGGAAUUAUUGGGCGUAAAGCGUCCGCAGGUGGCGAUUCAAGUCUGCUGUCAAAGCACGGGGCUUAACUCCGUUAAGGCAGUGGAAACUGAAUGGCUAGAGUGCCGUAGGGGUAGAGGGAAUUCCCGGUGUAGCGGUGAAAUGCGUAGAGAUUGGGAAGAACACCGGUGGCGAAAGCGCUCUACUGGGUCGCACCUGACCCUCAGGGACGAAAGCUAAGGUAGCG
rnacentral:rRNA from 1 species